rnacentral:lncRNA from 1 species
CCGCUUUCCAGCUUGUGGAAAGGGCACACUAAAAAGAGGUUGAACUGCGCUGUUUCUGACAUUUAAUGUAACUUGAGUCUCAGAGGAUGAGUCAAGGCAUUUCUCUGCCCUUCUAGGUCCCAAGAAGUUUCCAGAACAACUCAGUGUUUCCUUGGGAUGGAGCUUUCCAGCAGCCAGAGAGGAAAAUCCCUGUCUCUUGUUUGAAGGUCUGGAAAGGCCCCAGGCAUUCAGCUCCAGUAGGAAAAACCAUGGAUGAUCCAAAGUAGUGAUGACCUCACCCCAUCCAGAUAGCCAUCCACAUGGAGGAAAGAGUCCAGAGCAAAAAGGCCCUGCUCCUCCCAUCAUGGUCUGCCCUAUAUAUCAUCCUGUCCAGAAGCUCUACGCCAUAAUGGUGUGAAAGAGGCUUUGCUUUGGAGCUAAGCCCAGCUGAGUUUCAAUUUUGGAUUCUCUGGAUCACUACAAGAACGAGCAAGGACAUGCCGGGGACCCUCCAUGGACCCCAGUUUCCUCACCUGUAAACUGGAGGUAAUAACACACACGCCGCAUCAUGGGGUUACAUAAGUGUUUAAUACAAUGGCUGGCACAUAGUAGGAAAUCAAUAAACACUUGUUCCCACUCUAUCUUCA